rnacentral:misc_RNA from 1 species
UUUCCGUAGGUGAACCUGCGGAAGGAUCAUUAUUGAAUAAACCUGGCUUGGUUGAUGCUGGUCUUUUCGGAGACAUGUGCACACCUUGUCAUCUUUAUAUCUCCACCUGUGCACCUUUUGUAGACCUGGAUUCAACUUUCCGAGGAAACUCGGUUGUGGGGAAUUGCUUAAUAGGCUUUCCUUGUCAGUUUCCAGGGCUAUGUUUUCAUAUACACCUUAAGAAUGUAACAGAAUGUCAUUAUUAGGCUUAAUUGCCUUAUAAACUAUAUACAACUUUCAGCAACGGAUCUCUUGGCUCUC